GGACGCGUGGCUCAGUGGUAGAGCGUUCCGUUCACAUCGGAAAGGUCAGAGGUCCAAUUCCUCUCGCGUCCA
rnacentral:tRNA from 1 species